rnacentral:rRNA from 1 species
AUACGUAGGGUGCAAGCGUUAAUCGGAAUUACUGGGCGUAAAGCGUGCGCAGGCGGUUUUGUAAGACAGUGGUGAAAUCCCCGGGCUCCACCUGGGAACUGCCAUUGUGACUGCAAGGCUGGAGUGCGGCAGAGGGGGAUGGAAUUCCGCGUGGAGCAGUGAAAUGCGUAGAUAUGCGGAGGAACACCGAUGGCGAAGGCAAUCCCCUGGGCCUGCACUGACGCUCAUGCACGAAAGCGUGGGGAGCAAACAGGAUUAGAUACCCUGGUAGUCCACGCCCUAAACGAUGUCAACUGGUUGUUGGGGAUUUAUUUUCUCAGUAACGAAGCUAACGCGUGAAGUUGACCGCCUGGGGAGUACGGCCGCAAGGUUAAAACUCAAAUGAAUUGGCGGGG